rnacentral:misc_RNA from 1 species
CUACCGAGCUAGAGUGUAUUCAGAGGGAGGUGGAAUUCCGCGUGUAGCAGUGAAAUGCGUGAAUAUGCGGAGGGAACACCGAUGGCGAGCCCAAUACCUCCUGGGAUAACACUGACGCUCAUGCACGAAAGCGUGGGAGCAAACAGGAUUAGAUACCCUGGUAGUCCACGCCUAAACGAUGUCAACUAGCUGUUGGGGCCUUCGGGCCUUGGUAGCGCAGCUAGCGCGUGAAGUUGACCGCCUGGAGUACGGUCGCAGAUUAAAACUCAAAGGAAUUGACGGGACCACAGAAGCGGUGGAUGAUGUGGAUUAAUUCGGUGGCACGAAAAACCUUACCUACCCUUGACAUGUCUGGAAUCCCGAAGAGAUUUGGGAGUGCUCGCAAGAGAACCGGAACACAGGUGCUGCAUGGCUGUCGUGUCGUGUCGUGAGAUGUUGGGUUAAGUCCGCAACGAGCUGGCCUUAUUAUGUUAGUUGCUACGAGGAGCACUCAAUGAGACUGCCGGUGACAAACCGGAGGAGGGGAGUGAAGGGGAUGACGUCAAGUCCUCAUGGUUACCAUGGGUAGGCUUCACACGUCGCUACAAUGGUCGGGACAGAGGGGGUCGCCAACCCGCAGGGGGAGCCAGUCCCAGAAACCCGAUCGUAGUCCGGAUCGCGGUCUGCAACUCGACUGCGUGAAGUGGAGAUCGCUAGUAAUCGCGGAUCAGCAUGUCGCGGUGAAUACGUUCCCGGGUCUUGUACACACCGCCCGUUACCAUGGGAGUGGGUUUUACCAGAAGUAGUUAGCUAACCGUAAGGAGGCGAUUACCACGGUAUUAGGAUUCAUGACUGGGGGUGAAGUCUUGAACAG